GGAAAGUGAUGAAGAAAUGGUUGUAUCUCACAGAGAAUGAGAGAAGUUUCACAGAAAAUGGCUGAAGAAAGGUCAAAUUUGUGGCUUCUUUUCUUUCUUGGACUGGACUCACCAGCUGCAGCUCUGCUGAGCCGUGCUGCGGGGCGAAGCAGCACCUUGUGUGCGCCUUUUCUAGCUAUGUUAAACCGAUGCCUGCAGAGCACCAGCAUUAUGCCUUUUGUGGCUCUUGCGCUACCGACAGCAAUGCAACCUGAGCUGUUUCAUUACCUCUGCUGAAUGCGGUCCUGGCCCUGCUGAAGUCGRUGGGGUUCUGCCUUUGACUUCCGUGAGAUCCGAAUUUCAGCCUUUGCCUCAGAUGAGUGCCAGGAAGUCCCCGGGGCCAGUGGCGAAGCCAAGGGACCUGGCCAGACGUGUCUGCAGGGCUGGCCUUGCUGGUAGUCCCGUCAGCUCUGCUUCUGCAAUGAGACAAGUAAGCCUGCRUCCUGUGGACAUCCAUGGUAGUUACAUGUACGUGUCUUCAAAAGUAGCAUUUGUUCAUAAACUGACUAUGAUAGAAGAUCAUACUCUUCUUAUGUAGGAUUAAUUAUUUGGGAUUAUCAAGGAUUAAUAUUCAGCAGCCGAAAGUCUAACUGUGGGGA
rnacentral:lncRNA from 1 species